AGUGUUCCGCCGGCCCUGAUCGUAACCAAUGAGAUACAACCGAGGUGCGAUUAUUGCUAGUUGAAAACUAAUACCAACUACGGUAUGCCCGUCCUCAAGAUACAACCUUAUAAUGAAUGGAUUUUCGGUAUAUUCUACGGAAU